rnacentral:rRNA from 1 species
AGAUUGAACGCUGGCGGCAUGCCUAACACAUGCAAGUCGAACGGGAGUAGCAAUACUCUAGUGGCGGACGGGUGAGGAAUACGUAGGAAUUUGCCCUUAAGUGGGGGAUAACCCGGGGAAACCCGGAUUAAUACCGCAUGACCUCGAAAGAGCAAAGUGGGGGAUCGCAAGACCUCACGCUUUUGGAGAAGCCUACGUCGGAUUAGCUAGUUGGUGAGGUAAUGGCUCACCAAGGCGACGAUCCGUAACUGGUCUGAGAGGAUGAUCAGUCACACCGGAACUGAGACACGGUCCGGACUCCUACGGGAGGCAGCAGUGGGGAAUAUGGACAAUGGGCGCAAGCCUGAUCCAGCAAUGCCGCGUGUGUGAAGAGGCCGUUCGGUUAGUAAGACACGUUUAAGUUAGGGAAGAAAAAACUAGACUACGUAACACAAGUAGAGUCGUUAGACGGUAACCGACGAGAAUAAGACACCGGACUAACUC